GAGCCAUUAGCUCAGUUGGUAGAGCAUCAGACUUUUAAUCAGAGGGUCAGAGGUUCGAAUCCUCUAUGGCUCA
rnacentral:tRNA from 1 species